rnacentral:rRNA from 1 species
GUGGGGAAUAUUGGACAAUGGGCGAAAGCCUGAUCCAGCCAUGCCGCGUGUGUGAAGAAGGUCUUCGGAUUGUAAAGCACUUUAAGUUGGGAGGAAGGGCAGUAAGUUAAUACCUUGCUGUUUUGACGUUACCGACAGAAUAAGCACCGGCUAACUUCGUGCCAGCAGCCGCGGUAAUACGAAGGGUGCAAGCGUUAAUCGGAAUUACUGGGCGUAAAGCGCGCGUAGGUGGUUUUGUAAGUUGGAGGUGAAAUCCUCGGGCUCAACCUGGGAACUGCCUCCAAAACUGCAUGACUAGAGUACGGUAGAGGGUAGUGGAAUUUCCUGUGUAGCGGUGAAAUGCGUAGAUAUAGGAAGGAACACCAGUGGCGAAGGCGACUACCUGGACUGAUACUGACACUGAGGUGCGAAAGCGUGGGGAGCAAACAGGAUUAGAAACCCCUGUAGUCC